UGGACUUGCCAUGUAAGUCUAAGUCCCGUGAAAGCGGGACCCUAUGCGAGCUUGUUCAAAGACACUUUCAC
rnacentral:rRNA from 1 species